rnacentral:lncRNA from 1 species
AGAAGAGCAGGAGAGAGAGGCCUCUGGUGAAGAACCACGCAAUUCUGCAGGGAGAAGCAAUGCUUGGCAGAACUAAUCACAAUAGGAAAACAGAAGACUCACCUGAGAAACACCAGGGCAGCUGAGAGCUCAUAAAGAAACUGAAAACGGAACAAAAUUGUGCAUAGCCUGCCUUCCACAUACAGACUUUGCAUUUGGUAGAUUAUUGGUGGUUCAGUAAAUGAACUUUAACAGAGCUCUGUAAUCACACAGUCGUGUGCAUCCAUCCCCAGCUGUCAACAGGAUCUUCUGAGUAAAACACAGCUAAAUAAAUCUCUGCAAUGAGGAAGGACCGCAAUCAAAGAUGAGGAAAUGGAGGAAAAGAAACUUCUUCAAGGUCACCUAGCUCAUAAAUGGCAACACCAAGAUUUAAAUUGAAGUAGUUUAUCUCGAGAGUCCUUGCUUUUGGAUGGGAGUCUUGUCGAUCACAUUCAACCCUAAAUACCCAUCAUGUAGAACAGUGCCUGGCACACAGUAGGCACUCAAUAAAUAUUUGUUGAAUGACUGAAUGAUGUAGUGGUUUCAAAGGAGACCCUAACCCUGGGUCUCCAUGAGCUUGCCCUUGGGUAUACCCUAUCACCUGUCUGAUCCUUAGACCUUUGGUAUUCAGAAUCUGGCCUGGCUAACAUUUUUUGAGAUAUUUCAAUACAACUUCAUCUUCAGCCAGAGUAAUGUUUGAAAUUAAAGCUAUCCUCUGCUUGAAAUCUACACAGUCACAACCAACAUGUACGUGAUGAUGUAUACAUUUCUAUGGUACUUUUCAAAUGCAUCUUCUCAUGUAACAAUAGUGCAAGGAAAGAAAUCAUUCCAAAGCCCUUCAGGAGAGUAGGAGAGACUGAAGUAGUCAUUGUCAUUACCUCAGCAGGUUAAUAUAAUAGCUUUUCACUCGCAUUUAAAUCCAGAGGAGAGAAACCACAUGAUAUGCAUUUGCCUGUGUCGGUAACAUCCGCAGGGAACAUUUACCUUUAUUACUAAGGCUAAUUUUGGGUUGAUAGAGUUAGAUCUUACUGAGAAUGUCUAGUUAUGAAGUUUUUUAAAAAAAAAAAGUGGGAAAAGUUAAAUCUUAUGGCAAGGCCAGGCUGAGCCAAGUUUCAUUAAAUAAUGGUGUAUUGUUAUAAAAUAUCAGGCAGGGCACAGUGGCUCAUACCUGUAAUCC